rnacentral:rRNA from 1 species
UGGGCAACCUGCCCCUCUCUCUGGGAUAACCCCGGGAAACCGGAGCUAAUACCGGAUACUCCGGCUGGAUCGCAUGGUCCGGCCGGGAAAGGUCCGCCGGAGAGGGAUGGGCCCGCGGCCUAUCAGCUUGUUGGUGAGGUAAUGGCUCACCAAGGCGACGACGGGUAGCCGGCCUGAGAGGGCGAUCGGCCACACUGGGACUGAGACACGGCCCAGACUCCUACGGGAGGCA